CAAGUACUCCCUCCGUCCGGAAUUACUUGUCAUCAAAAUGGAUGUGUCUAGAACUAAAAUAUAUCUAGAUACAUCCAUUUCAAUGACAAGUAUUUUCGGACGGAGGGAGUACAAG
rnacentral:pre_miRNA from 1 species